rnacentral:rRNA from 1 species
AACGAACGCUGGCGGCAGGCUUAACACAUGCAAGUCGAACGCCCCGCAAGGGGAGUGGCAGACGGGUGAGUAACGCGUGGGAAUCUACCCAGAUCUUCGGAACAACUGAGGGAAACUUCAGCUAAUACCGGAUACGCCCUACGGGGGAAAGAUUUAUCGGUUCUGGAUGAGCCCGCGUUGGAUUAGCUAGUUGGUGGGGUAAUGGCCUACCAAGGCGACGAUCCAUAGCUGGUCUGAGAGGAUGAUCAGCCACACUGGGACUGAGACACGGCCCAGACUCCUACGGGAGGCAGCAGUGGGGAAUAUUGGUCAAUGGGCGAAAGCCUGAACCAGCCAUGCCGCGUGAGUGAUGAAGGCCUUAGGGCUGUAAAGCUCUUUCAGUAGGGAAGAUAAUGACGGUACCUACAGAAGAAGCCCCGGCUAACUUCGUGCCAGCCGCCGCCGUAACAC